AUGGUGAGGAGUCUCAUUUUUGCAGAAAACACAUUCCAGGGGCUUUCCACUUUCCUCCGAAUGUCCUAACCAGCUUAACCAUCAGACAAAGUCUCUCUCUGUUGCCCAGGCAGUGACUCGAUCUUGGCCCACUGCAACCUCCGUCUCCCGGGUUGAAGCGAUUCUCCUGCCUCAGUCUGCCGAGUAGCUGGGACUACGGGCGCACACCACCACGCCCAGCUAAUAUUUUGUAUUUUUAGUAGAGACCGGGUUUCACCACGUUGGCCCGGAUGGUCUGGAUCUCCUCACCUCGUGAUCUGCCCUCCUCAGCCUCCCAAAGUGGUGGGAUUAUAGGCGUGAGCCACCGCACCCUUCUACAGCAAAUAUUAGUUUAUUUAUUGUAACUGUUGACUAUUAGUAUUAAAAAAAUUCAGACUGAAGUUUUCCUGCAAUCAUAUCUAUUUCGAAAAUUGUCUACUUAACUUGAAGAAAAUAAGAAUAGAACAAGUUAUAUAAAUUUACCAUUUUGCAGAUUCUGCUGAAUAAAGGGAAAAACUAAUACCUUCUAAAAUCAAACUACUGGCUAAAAUUUUGAGAAACAUCAAUAUUUAUAAUAGGAAAGAUGUAAAAUGAGUAAGUUUUUUCCAGCCUUAUUGAAGUAUACUUGGAAAGCAAAAAUUGCAUAUGUUUAAGAUGUACAAUAUGAUGUUUUGGCAUUUGUGUACAUUGUGAAAUUAUUACCAGACCAAGCUAAUUAAUAUGUUCAUUAACUCACAUAGUUGUGGUUUGCUGGUGUGUGUGUAUGAGUGUGAUAAGAACAUUUAAGAUCAACUCUCUUAGCAAAUUUCAAGUAUAUAAUAUAGUGCUACUAGCUAUAGUCAUUAUGCUAUACAUUACAUCUCCAGAAUUUAUUCAUCCCAUAUGGCUGAAUGUUUGUUCACUUUAACCAAAAUCUUCCCAUUUUCCCCAACCUUCAGCCCAUGGCAACCAUUAUUUUACUCUCUGCUUUUAUGUUUUAUUAUAAGUAAUAUUAAUUCAGAUUAUUUGGGUGUGAAGAGGUUUUUUGCCUUCAUUGUUUAUUAUACUAUGCAUGAUGCAGCAAGUUUAGAGUUUAAAAUUGAAAGUCUAGAAAGAUAUCAAGUAAAAGAAAAUUAUUUUCAUUUUACAUUUUAAAAAAUUAUUGGAAUUUGCCUAGAAAGAAAUAGAGAACUAUAAAAAAAGACACUUUUUCCUAUUUCUACCACAAAAGUAAAUUUAUAUAUAUGGUAUACCAAAAAGCAACAGUUUAUUAUUCAUGACUAUAUAUUAACCAUCAGUGGUAUAGUAGGACAUUGAACAGAAAGCAAAAGAAAUUGUUAUUGGUUUUUUCAAUAUAUAGACUUGCAUUUUUUUCUAUUUAAUACAUUGGGAAUUAGUUUUAUUAUUUAAAAAUGUAAAAAUUGAAAUGUAUAGUACACUGUUAUUAGCUGUGGUCACCAUGCUGUGCAGGAGAUCACUAAAACUUAUUUCUCCUUUAACUGAAGCUUUAUGUCCUUUGAUUAUGAUCUUCCUUUUCACCAUCUCUUAUCCUCUCUCAUAUCCUUUCUCAUCUCUGUAUCUAUGAGACCAACUUUUUUAGACUACACACAUAAAUGAGAUCAUAUAGUAUUUGUAUUUCUGGGGAAAUCGCUAAAGUAGUAGAUUUUUAACAUUCUCACCACACAAAAAAAUUGGUGAGGUGAUGGAUAUGUUAAUUAGCUUGAUUGAAUCUUUCUACAAUGUAUACAUAGAUUAAAGCAUCACAUUGUACCCCGUAAAUAUACACAAUAAAAAUUUUAAUGUAAAAAUAAAAUAUAUUAUCUUUAAAAAUCUUAUCAAGUUUUUGAUCCAAUUGGUAAGCAUAUUAAUCAUAGAAAAUCCAAAAAAUAUUUAAAAUGAACAGCUUUUAAAAAAUUUAAUUUACUUUAUUUCUUGAAGGAAAGAAAGCUAAAAUUUAGCAGUAAAUAUUACUUUAAGAUCUGUAACGCAUCACUAAAAGUAGUAUAAUUACUAGGAUUAUAUAUGAUAUUUUGAAACUUUGGAUGGCGAUAAAGGGGAAAAGGAGUAAAAAUGCUAAAACUUUCUCCACAUAUUUAUGAUAUUUUUAAAAGACACAUUUCAUACAAUGGAACUUUAGACUAAAACACCAGAAGUAACAAAAAAUAAUCUCUCGAAAAAUGAAGUGGCAGUUAUGAAGUAGUCAGUCCAGGACAAAACUUUUUGAAAUAUACCAGAAGAGAAAAAGUAGCAUUUUUGCUUACCCAAAUAAACAAAAAUAAAAAAAAGAUUAUGACAUGUCCAGCACAUGCUAAAUACUACUUAAGCUCUCAUUCUUUCUGUUAUUACUAUUAUUAUUUAACAUUUUUAAACAAACAUUUAUAUUAGCAACAAAAGUUAAGUACAGAACUGAUCACUUACAUUUUUAAAAUAUUGAAAAAAGUAAUCUCUGUUCUUUAAUGGCAUUCACUUUCUCUAAGUAUGACCUUGUGACAAGUUACAAUGGAAGACAUAGGACGCUUUCAGAAUGUUAUUUCUCUCUUCUCCAAAGAAUACAAAAAUGAAUAAGCUAAUCACAAUUAUGAUGGUAGCUUUAGUUAUAUAUGUAAUUGACAAAUAGUGAUUGAAGGCUUAAACCAAUUUCAUAUGAAUAAUUACCAUGUAAAUAUCAAAGUAGUUUUUUCUUAAUAAAUACUAGUCUUACAGUGUAUUUUAAUAACUAAUUGCAUAAAAUUUUCUGAUAUGCUAAUUUGACCAAUUGUUCAAUUUUCAUAAAAUGUUUAAUAUAUUUUUCAAUAGAAGAAAGACAAAUAAUUAUUGAAGCAGAUGACUUUUAUAAACAUUAAAUUAUAGAAUUUUAAAUUAUUUUUACUUCCAGAACUUGAAAAAUCUUAAAAGGCAAAAAUUUUACAUCCAGUAAUCCUUUAUCCUAUUCUGUAAAGACCUCCUACUGUGCUUUACUAUUCU
rnacentral:lncRNA from 10 species